GCGUCCUUCAUUUACAUGGCCGGGGAGUGGGCGUGGCCGAAUGUAAAUCGGGCGCCCCGCCCACCGCUGCGGAAACGCCCACCUGCUUCCGGUCCGGUUGCCAAGGCAGCGAACGGGCGACCGGAAGCGGGCGGCGGCGGUCCCUGACGCCCUGACGCCCGGCCGGAGAUGGCGGACAGCGGGCGGUUGUCGGCUCCACUCCCGGCCCGGCCCGGCCCGGCCUGGCUCCCCUCACUCACUCACAGGCCGAGGCCGCCUGCACCGGACCCGACCCGACCCGACCCGACCCCCCUCGGGUAGAAACAGAUCACUUCAGAUGUGUACUUGCAGAUUUUGGAUCUGUCAUUUGAAGAGGAGGAUGAUCUGCAUAUAUUUUGGUGUAACCUUGAUGCAACCUUGAAACCCACAACUUCCAUCCGCUAUUUUACAGAAAUCACUGGAUAUCAAAAAUGUCCAUUUUGAAAGAAUUUAAAAAAGGUGGAUAAUCUAAAGGCUCAGAAUUGGAAAGGACUUGAAUGCAGGCUUACAGAGAAGUACUGAAGAAAACCCAAAAUCCAAACACGAAUGGUACCGAAAGAUAUAGACCUGGAACCGACAGAACUCAGAACUGCUAUCGAACCGACAGAAUGCAGAACUGAUCAGUCAGCACCCAAUUGCUGAUGAUCGCAGCUAAGUAUAGGAUGUCAAGAUUUGAUCUGUGCCUGCAACAACUGUAUGCUAUCAGCCCAUCAGCCAGCUGCCAUUUCAACACUUAAGAAAAUCUUGUCUGGGUAAAUAUAUAGGAGCCCAGUAAUUAUUCCAUUGAACAUUAUUGCAAUUGAAAUCUUUCAACUGUUAAUGAGAAAAAUCACGUGGAAUUCUGCUAACAAGAUUAUUGGAAACAUAUGAAGGAAUUGAUGUCAGGAAGAAAGUCAUCUAAUUAUUCACCCAAUUAUGGUACUGUUACGAGUUAAGGAUCAGUCAUUUUAACUUCAUGCCACUAACAAUGUCACUGGUAAAGUCUAUGCCUUAUCAGAAGGCCUUCAAUUUUAAUUUGUAAUUUAUGGUGAAAGGAAAUCUGCAGAAAAUACAAUAUUAGAAUUGGCUAAUCAUUGAAUUAGCAGGAUAAUACUGGACUAUAGUUUGGGAAUAAAGCCUCAAACAACUGUAUUAAAACACAACCAUAAUUAUCAUUCUAUGAUGUAAGCUUGUACUUGCUUUUUUUUUGCAGAUUGCCUACAGUAAAAAAAUGUUCCAAUGUUUCAAGGUACACAAUGCCAUGGACAGAUAGCUAAAGAAUUGUGCUUACAAUAUUACUUAGUAUUAGCUAGCAUUUCUGAUUAUACAUAAGAUGAAAUGUUAGAAUUGUCACAGGAGGCCAUUCAGCCCAACACGACCAUGCUGGGUCUCUGUUCAUACGGAUUCCUCUGUGCUUUCCCCUGCACACUACAUGUUUUUCCUCUCAAAUGCUAUCUGAUUACAGUUUCAAAGUCCAAUUUGACUCUCUUUCCUCCACUCUUACAAGCAGCGAGUUGAGACAAUUCCCAUAAGUCAAAACGACGUGCAUUUGCAUCAAGUCUUCCUCCCCAGGCAAAGAACAAAUUAUGCUGUUCCUAUCUAAGUAUUGGCUGAAGUUCCUGGAACUGUUCUAGAUUAUCAUCUCCACUGCAUCUGUCUGACGAAGGGUCUGGACCCAAAACGUCACCUAUUCCCUUUUCUCCAGAGAUGCUGCCUGUCCCCUUGACUUACUCCAGCUUUUUGUGUCUAUCUUCGGUAUAAACCAGCAUCUGCAUUUCCUUCCUACACAAAGUAGUAGGUGACCACAAUUUAACAAGAACAAUAAAUAUUGGAACAAACUCUUUCCUCAAAUUAAGUUUUACCUCGUUAAGUCACUUUCUGGUUUUCUUCGACUGGACUUUCUUUAAGGAGCAACUAUCCUUUAUCAGGUCUGAAGAGGGUUUGGAGGUUGGAAUUACUUCACCCGAAAGCACUCCGCUGACAUUUUUACAAACAAUAGGGGUUCAAACUGCUUUCGACAUGAAACAAAAUAUUCCUCAUUGUAGAUAUCACUGGAAAGUACUAGGUUCAUUCUUCUUAUCAAACAAGAACUAUUUGCAUGGAAUUUUGCAAUGGACUGUCAACAACUCGCCACCAUCAGCCCAAUAGACACAAAAUGCUGGAGUAACUCAGCGGGCCAGGCAGCAUCUCUGGUGAAAAGGAAUGGGUGAUGUUUUGGGUCGAGACCUUUCUUCAGAGUGCCUGGCCCACUGAGUUGCUCCAGCAUUUUGUGUCUAUCUUCGGUUUAAACCAGUAUCUGCAGUUCCUUCCAACACCAUCAGCACAAUGACUGGAAUCCAUCAAUUUCCAUGAAGAAAACAAGCCCAAUAGAACAAAAUGUUUAAAGUUCAGCAUUAUUCUUUGUAAAUUUGUUUCUUAAAUAAAGGAUGACAAAGUAAGUAUGCUUAGAGUUGUCAUUUGAUUACAAUUUCUCUUCUAUUGAUUGCAGACUUUAAAUGGAAUUGCGUGAUCUCAGCAGAUCAGGCAACACUUGAGGAGAGGGGAUUAGAGUUAAUGUUUCAGGUUGAUGAACUUUAAUCAGUUCGGAUUUUUCAUGAACCUGAUUUGUUAACUCUUCUCU